rnacentral:lncRNA from 1 species
UUUUUCGUAUAAAUUCGUUCUCAGGGAUAGCAAGGGUUAUAGCUAUCCUGAAUAACAAAUACACAGUGACAAUAAAUAAAAGUUGCAGUAAAAUAACAAUGAACACCAAGAUGUUUUUUUACUCGCAGAAACCCUACAACCAGAGAGAAAAACUGCGUGUCUCUAACUCUUGAGAGACAAAACUUUCCACUAAGUUGAAGUAACUUUUUACAAGAAUAAUAGUUCUAGUGAUACACUACCACAGUGCUAUCCUUCCUAGUCCCAAACUAGUCUAGACCUAUUCCCUCUCUUGUUUCUAAGCUCUUACAACAUGGAACAUUUUUAGAAGUCUUGUUCGUGAAUUCAGCUAACCACUAGCAGAUUCAACUUUGAACGCUUCUCAGAAGUUUCACUCUCAGAAACUCAGCUAUCCUAAACUGAUUCUUUCAUGAACCCAGCUACCUCAGCGGGAUACAUCAGAACUCAGCUAUCCUCAGCUGUUUCUUUCAUGAACACUUCCGGGAUUGCUGCACUACCAACUGAUCUCAUGGUAUGCAGAAUGCAAUGAGUUUGUGAGAAGAGGAUUUGUUCAGCUCUAAGGUUUAUAAUCACAAGAGGAAGACUUAGAGACUAAUGAACAAUACAAAUGAAAAACCAAAACCCAACAAUAAUGCAAUGACUUUGUGAGAGAAGGUUUUGUUCAGCUCUAAGGUUUAUAAUCACAAAAGGAAGAUUUAGAGACUAAUGAACAAAACAAAGGAAAACCAAAACCCAACAAUGCAAAUGUAAAAACUACAUUUUGACAACCAUUGAGCAAAGGCAGCCUUGCUCAAUAUAUACAAGCUGAUGGAGUGCUCUAACAAGAGAGAGACACAAUCCAAAGAGGUGCCACAAAAGGGCAAGCACGAGGGCCAAAGCAAGGAAAGGCUUUUUGGACUUUUGUCCUUGGCCAAACUCAGAAAGUGAGAGGACAUAUGCAGCUGUCCAUGGCCAAGAGAAAAGACAAACAAAACUAUCCUAAACAAUGUUUGAUUUAAAAACAAGAGACAAAGGUUUUGCAAACUUUUUCCCAAAAGCAUAAUACCAUAAUGGUUUAGCAAACCACUUUUCUCUGAUAUCAAACAAAGACAGCUGCAAAUAUUGGUUUGUGUAUCACAAACACAGCAAACCACAGCUGGAGCCUAAAAGCUAAAACAUGGGUCACGGGUUGAGAUAAAGGCAUCAAACCCUAGACUAAUUUAAGCACCAAGGCAUGUCUUUUACCUUAGUUGUCAAUUUGAAAUUCAAAUGAGGAUCUCACCCAGACAUAGUUCUUAUGGAACAAGGGUAAAGAAACUUAAAUAUAAGACAACUGAACAAAAGAUCAAAAAAGCUGGAAACCCAGAUUUUAGGAUGGCAAGUGAUACUGCUAUCCUCUGUGAAAAACCAUGAAAUGCACAUGCAUGAUUUUACCUGAGUUCCAUGAGAUCAUGUUGGUUCUUCUAGUUCUUCAACUUGUUCUUAAGAUGUGCAAGACCAAUCUCUCAAUUGCUUUAGGCUUCAUAGGUUGUGUUUUGUUCUAUAUAAGGAUUGCCAACAACCUUAUACCUUCAACACAUGAUGACUAAUGUUGUAACUAGAAAAUUUUACAACUUUAAGGACUCAUAUUACAACUUCGAGAACUAAUAUUACUAGUUUGAGGACUCAAUUUACAAAGUUGAUGCACCGCAUCAUUCACAUACAUUAACACACUAGCCUUACCCGUUUAAUUCCUCUUAUAUUUUAGAACAUUUAGCCCAAUCUUACUCUCAACUCUAUUGUAAGAACCCACCCCGAAUUUUACCCUAAAACCCGGAGUAAAUCCUGCGGGGACCACCUCCAAGGAAGAUAUUACCGAAAAUUCGGCAUAACCUCCCAUGAAAAUGGACAACCCUUCCUAACGAAAACCUGCAAACACUCCUAAAAAUUCUCAAGCCAACCUUAACUUCUAGAGCCUACGUGCUCCCCAAAAACAACCACCACCAAUAACAAUAAAAAGAUCAACUUCCAGAUCAAUCACAUAAUUAUCCCGCUAAAAUAGCAUACAUCUUCCUUGAAAUAUUCUAAAUGUAAUCAAGCCUUCGUCCACAACCGAAAUAAUGUCAUACAAUAUUCCCAAGGGAAAAUCAGAGCUACUAGACACUAGAGGAAGCAAGAAAAACACUGGUAAGUUAAAUAGAUAACCUACUGAUGAAAGGUGGUGGAAAUGCGGGUGACUCUGCCUCGCCAUCUACUAGAUCUAACCCGAACUCUGCAGACUGGGCAUUUUUAAAAAGAAGGGCCCAGGGGAAGACAUUUGAAACCGUUAGAGUGAGUGGACAAAAAUAAAUUUAAAAAGAAAAUAAAUCUUUAUACUUUCCCGAUUUAACUUCUGUGGAAAAACAAUUAACGAUAUGCAACAAGCUCAAAAGCUUUUAAAAAUUUACCGAAUUUACCGAAACGUGACUAGCCGCGCUAGUCACCAACACUUCAUAAAAAUAGAGCCUCUCAGGCUAAAAUAAAAUAUGUAAGUAUUACACUCGUCAUAUCCCUUGUAUGAAUUUUUUGAAACAACAAAGACAAAUAGAAAAUUCACACAAGGUUACGACGCUUGCGUCUAACGCUCACGUCGUACCAUAAUGGCAUUUUACCUCAUUAUGGUGGAAAAGACGUUGUAUAAAUAUAUACGCGCAUAUCCCCUAUAUAAAUUAUUAUAUUUAUAUAGGGCUACGACGAUUGCGUCUAACGCUCACGUCGCACCAUAAUGACAUUUUACCUCAUUAUGGUGGAAAAGCAUGUAUAGCUAGCUAGCAUUCCUUCAUAUACAUAUUAUUCUCAUAAUCAUCCAAAUAUGGAUAUGUAUAUAUAUAUAUACUCACCGAAAUUCUCAAUUUCGGUUAUUCUCCAACAACAUAAAUUAUUUCGCAUGCACAUUAUUUAAAACAAAAGUCCACUCACAAAUUAGGCCUAAGCCUGAUGUCGAUGCCUCCUCACGACAUGUUCCAAAUAUAAUAUUAAUUUCCUAGCUGAAAUUCCAAUAUUUACACAAAAUAGGCAAAAAUUAACCGAGAGCCCUAAACACGCUCAUCAUUGCCUAACUUCGAAAUUGUCCACACCUCAACCCUAGAACCAGCAGCCGUAACUACACUUUCUCACAGUUUAAACAACUUUAAUCCAACGGCCAGAUUCUACAUUAAUUAACUGCCAAAAAUACCAAACUUCGGAAAUUUACAAACCUAACAAAAACUCCUCCAAAAAUUCCAUAAUUCACAUCAAUAAACUCCCCUUAAUAUUCCACAUCUAAAACCAUUAAAAUCUCCCAAACAGCGGCGGCCGGAGGCCGACUCCGGCGACUUCCAAUGCCAAUGAAAUUUUGACAGCAUCUUCCUCUCAACCCCUUAUACAACUUUCCUAACUAGCACAAACAUCAAUUCCAAGCCUAACUAGGGCAAUCGAGCAAAAACAACACAAAAAGCCCUAGAGCUUCCACUCACCGGUUCUACUCACCUUAAGCAAACUGGACCGAGUCCUUCUAGGGCAAGGCAACUAGGUUGGAGACCUUCAAAACCAUAUAAGGCUUGCCCGGAUUGGUGGCCGGAGGAGGAAGUUCCGGCGAGAAAACCACCACGACAGCUAGCGUUUCCGGGCGUCGUUUCUCUCUCACGGCGGCGCUAGGGGGGCUGUCAUUAGUCCAUGGAGGUAGCUGGGUUGAAGGCUGACCGAACGGGACCGGACCGGUGGCGGAUGGUGGCCGGACGGCGACGGACGGACGGCGAGAAGAUCCGACAGCGGGAGAGGGAGUGAGUCGGGAGGGAGAGAAGAAGAGAGAGAGAGAAGAAAUGAGGUUUGGGUCUCCACCAAACCGAUCCAACCCUUUAAAACAAAACCCAACUCUAAAAUUUACACCUCAAAAAUAAUACCCUAAUAAAAAUUACCUUUUACUAGCUAAAAAUUUACCAUUUUUUACCGUCGUUAAUAUUUUCUCCUACGAAUAAUCCUCUGAAAAUAACCGUCCCCUAAACCCCUCUAGGGACCAAUUCAACUAUAACCUCAAUGACGGAGACGGUAAAAUUCUUAUUAUAACCAAGCUAGUAAAUAAGGUAAAAAUUUAAGGGUCGGGAUGUGACAUUUAUUGUCACAUGCACCUUGACCCGGAAAUUGAGAAUAAUUUUUUUUUUCCAGGGUAAGGACGUGAAUAGCCUCGAUUUGUCAAAAGAUAAGAGAGAACCUUUGACAAAUAAAAGCUAUGUGAAAAACUUUAUUUCAUAAGUAUUGUUCUCACAACAAACAGGAAAGUAGCCUGAUUACACAAACUUAAAUAAAAAACAGUAAGCUAUAGAUUCACUCCUCCUCCUAGACUUCAGAUUCUUUCUAGACAUCAAGUCUUAUCCCUCAAGUGUAACAUCUGAACAAAUUCAUAAAGGGGUGAGCCAAAAGACUCAGUAGAGCAAAUCUCAUGCACAUAAUUUCAAUAUUAGUGUAUGCACAUAAUUUUAUGUUUCAGUUGCUGGUACUCUUGUACUCUUCUUGGUCACCAGUGUCUUCUUACCAUAAGAUCGUUUUAUUAAUAUAACAUUGAAAGGGCUUUUCUCCCUACAUGUAUAUAGAGAAAUUUUUCUGUCCUCCAGGAGGACCACGUCAACAUGCCUAGUGGUCAUCUUUGGCCAAUAGGAAGCGGUUAUGUAGUAUUUUUUGACAUGUAAUAAUAAAGUAAAAUAAUUACUGUAUUUAACUUAAGUAAAUCCAACCUUUUCUUUUAAAAAAAACUGAAGGAAAACCAAA